GCGGGAGUAGCUCAGUGGUAGAGCAUCACCUUGCCAAGGUGAGGGUCGCGAGUUCUAGCCUCGUUUCCCGCUCCA
rnacentral:tRNA from 1 species